UACGGGGGGAGCAAGCGUUGUUCGGAUUUACUGGGCGUAAAGGGCGCGUAGGCGGUCAGCACAAGUCAGUUGUGAAAUCUCCGGGCUUAACUCGGAAAGGUCAACUGAUACUGUGCGACUAGAGUGCGGAAGGGGCAACUGGAAUUCUCGGUGUAGCGGUGAAAUGCGUAGAUAUCAGGAAGAACACCCGUGGCGAAAGCGGCUCUCUGGAACGGUACUGACGCUGAGACGCGAAAGCGUGGGGAGCGGACAGG
rnacentral:rRNA from 1 species